rfam:Desulfobacteraceae bacterium 4484_190.3 ex4484_190.3_scaffold_35476, whole genome shotgun sequence.
AUGUCUGACUCAAAAGUAAACGACUCUCAGGCAGGAUACGAAUCAGCCAUCACAAACCUGAUGGUUGCGCUGGCAGGAGGAAAUUUCAUCCAUGAUGCGG